rnacentral:misc_RNA from 1 species
AACGCACAUUGCGCCCCUUGGUAUUCCUCGGGGCAUGCCUAUUCGAGCGUCGUCCCUCUCUCUCAAGCGCAAGCUUGGUGUUGGGGCCUGCCCCUGCGAAGGCGGCAGCUCCUGAAUUCAUCGGCGGGCCCAGUGCUCUGGGGGGCCUUGAAGCCUGCCGUCAAGCCCGCUUGCGGGCACCACCAUAAAUUUAGGUCGACCUCGAAUUAGGUAGGGAUACCCGCUGAACUUAA